UACGAGGGGGGCGAGCGUUGUUCGGAAUUAUUGGGCGUAAAGGGUGCGUAGGCGGUUUGGUAAGUCUGAUGUGAAAUCUAUGGGCUCAACUCAUAGUCUGCAUCGGAAACUGCCGGGCUUGAGUGUGGGAGAGGUGAGUGGAAUUCCUGGUGUAGCGGUGAAAUGCGUAGAUAUCAGGAGGAACACCUGCGGUGUAGACGGCUUACUGGACCAUAACUGACGCUGAGGCACGAAAGCGUGGGUAGCAAACAGG
rnacentral:rRNA from 1 species